rnacentral:rRNA from 1 species
GAACCCGCACAAGCGGUGGAGCAUGUGGUUUAAUUUGAUGAUAAGCAGGGAACCUCACCAAGGUUUGACAUUUAUAGAAUUCUGGGGAAACUCAGAAGUGCCGCAAGGAGCUAUAAAACAGGUGCUGCAUGGUUGUCGUCAGCUCGUGUCGUGAGAUGUCGGGUUAAGUCCUUUAACGAGCGCAACCCUCAUCCUAAUUUAUAUAUUCAUUAGGAAACUGCCCAGGAUAACUGGGAGGAAGGCGAGGAUGACGUCAAAUCAGCAUGGCUCUUACACCUUGGGCUACACACGUGCUACAAUGGCUAGUACAAUGGGCCGCUAAGUCGCGAGACGGAGCUAAUCCCACCAAAACUAGUCCCAGUUCGGAUUGGAGUCUGCAAUUCGACUCCAUGAAGUCGGAAUCGCUAGUAAACGCAUAUCAGAACGGUGCGUUGAAUACGUUCUCGGGUUUU